CCUACGGGAGGCAGCAGUGAGGAAUAUUGGUCAAUGGGCGAGAGCCUGAACCAGCCAAGUCGCGUGAGGGAGUACUGCCCUAUGGGUUGUAAACCUCUUUUGUCGGGGAGCAAAAGCCGGACGUGUCCGGCUGUGAGAGUACCCGAAGAAACAGCAUCGGCUCACGCCGUUCCAGCAGCCGCGGUAAUACGGAGGAUGCGUGCGUUAUCCGGAUUUAUUGGGUUUAAAGGGUGCGCAGGCGGAUUUUUAAGUCAGCGGUAAAAUCGUGGGGCUCAACCCCAUCCAGCCGUUGAAACUGGGGAUCUAGAGUGUGCGAGAGGUAGGCGGAAUGCGUGGUGUAGCGGUGAAAUGCAUAGAUAUCACGCAGAACCCCGAUUGCGAAGGCAGCAUACCGGUGCACAACUGACGCUCAGGCACGAAAGCGUGGGUAUCGAACAGGAUUAGAUACCCCAGUAGUC
rnacentral:rRNA from 1 species